GAUGAAGAACGUAGCGAAAUGCGAUACUUGGUGUGAAUUGCAGAAUCCCGUGAACCAUCGAGUCUUUGAACGCAAGUUGCGCCUCAAGCCAUUAGGUUGAGGGCACGUCUGCCUGGGCGUCACAUAUCGUUGCCUGAUGCCAGUUUCCUCGUGAUGGGUGACUGUGCAGGGCGAAUGAUGGCCUCCCGUGAGCAUUGUUGCCUCAUGGUUGGUUGAAAAUUGAGUCCUUGGUAGGGAGCGCCGUGAUAGAUGGUGGUUGAGUGACGAACGAGACCCAAUCAUGUGAGACCCCUACCGAAUUUGGCCUUCAUGACCCACAUGCGUCUUUGGAACGCUCAUGACGAGACCUCAGGUCAGGCGGGGCUACCCGCUGAGUUUAAGAAUAUCAAUAAGCGGAGUA
rnacentral:misc_RNA from 1 species